UCAGUGGCUCUUUUCAGAGCCACCUGGCCAAAAAGUAGAAGUUCA
rfam:Gorilla gorilla gorilla genomic chromosome, chr5, whole genome shotgun sequence